AUGUGAUUCACCAGCUUACAUACUAAAAUUGGAAAGAUGUAGAGCAGAUUAUCAUGGUCUCUGGGCAAAGAUGACAAAAAAUUUGGGCAGCAUCCCUUAUUUUU
ensembl:snRNA U6 U6 spliceosomal RNA